rnacentral:rRNA from 1 species
AUUGAACGCUGGCGGCAGGCCUAACACAUGCAAGUCGAGCGGAUGAAGGGAGCUUGCUCCUGGAUUCAGCGGCGGACGGGUGAGUAAUGCCUAGGAAUCUGCCUGGUAGUGGGGGAUAACGUCCGGAAACGGGAGCUAAUACCGCAUACGUCCUGAGGGAGAAAGGGAGGGAUCUUCGGACCUCACGCUAUCAGAUGAGCCUAGGUCGGAUUAGCUAGUUGGUGGGGUAAAGGCCUACCAAGGCGACGAUCCGUAACUGGUCUGAGAGGAUGAUCAGUCACACUGGAACUGAGACACGGUCCAGACUCUUACGGGAGGCAGCAGUGGGGAAUAUUGGACAAUGGGCGAAAGCCUGAUGCAGCCAUGCCGCGUGUGUGAAGAAGGUCUUCGGAUUGUAAAGCACUUUAAGUUGGGAGGAAGGGCAGUAAGUUAAUACCUUGCUGUUUUGACGUUACCAACAGAAUAAGCACCGGCUAACUUCGUG